AUGGUGCUCAUCUCUUUACUUUUGUUCUGUACUCUUGCAUGGGUGAGUUUUGGGAAUGUCAUCACACCAGUCCAGCCUGAGGUGUUUGGGACAGAGGGGGACAAUAUAACUCUGUCCUGUAACUACUCUUCAGCAGUUAGUCUGCAGUGGUAUCGCCAAUAUCCAAACUCAGCUCCUGAAUACCUUUUGAUAAUACUACAAGGGACAGGGAAAGUUUCACAGAAGUCUAAAAUUGUAGAGCAAGAUCCUCGAUUCUCUGGAAAAGUGAAUGAAAAGAAAACCCAUGUGGAUCUGGAGAUCUCCUCUGCUAAAGUGACAGACUCUGCUCUGUACUACUGCGCCCUGGAGCCCACAGUGACAGGAAACACAACGACACUGUACAAAAACCUGACUUAUGUUAAUCAUCCAGUGGGUUAA